CGGCAGACACUCAAUCUCCAGUUGUAACAGGUGGUGUGGAGUCCGCUGUCCCAGGGAGUGGGCUCAAGGCCUAGUCCUGCCAAUGAACUUGCUGUAGAAACUUUUCUGUCUAUCAAAUGAGGUUGGAAUGCACUGGUGCAAUAAUUGCUCACUGCAGCCAUGACCUCCCAUGCUCAAGCAAUCCUCCCACCUCAGCCUCCCACGUAGCUGGGACUACAGCUUCUCCAUUUCCACCUUUGCAAACUCUGGACUCCAAGGACGCAAGAUGGCCGGAAACAAGAUGGUGGAGCAUGAAGGCCCUUGCCAGAUGACAGCACUAUGCCCUUGGACUCCCCAGCCUCCAUAACCAUGGGCCAAAUAAACUUCUAUUGUUUUAAAUUGCCCAGUCUGUGGUAUUCUAUCAUAACAGCACAAAAUAGACUAAAACAAUGCUCUACACUGGCUGCCAGAGUUCCCUGAUGGGAUUGUGCUCCAGUUGUCCACAGUAGUAACUUGCUGGAUAAUACUUCCUGUUUCCGCAGGCUUCUCUUCUCUGUCUCAUUCCCUCAAUCCCCUAAUGGUGCUUUCUGGGAUCAUCUCCCAAAUAAUCCACUUGCACCUCAAAUCCUCAUCUCAGAGUCUGCUUCUGAGGGAGCCCAAACAAAGGCAUGAAACCUUUCCCAUUCCCCAGUCUCAGUCUAUAUGGUUAAAGUGGGCCUGAACCCCAUUCUAGGAUGGGUCAGACUCAGGUCUGACCAAUGACACCACCAUACCUCUUUUAGGUACAGGGAUGGUUCAGGGAUGACCAUUUGAACUCAAACAAGGCCAAUAACAGUUUCAUCCAGGAUUUAUGUUGAAACGAUUGAGAAAGAGAAACAUUUCUCCUGUGGUUUCUAAACUGUCAGGAUGUUGGCUUGUGAGCCCACAAUCCUCUGAGAAUGAAGCCACAUCAGAGACAGAGCAGUGAGAUGAAAAAGAGAAACCACAUCCCAAUGGCUUUAGGUGCAUCUCCGGUUCCACUGUGGUGUAUAAAUAAUUUUUUCAUUUAUUAGGCUGGGGCAUGAGAACUCCCCUGUUCCCCACAGGCAGGACUACUCCCUAUUGUUUCACAUGUUUACUUUCCCUGCCUGGCCCCUGAAGCCACUGGGGUUUGCAGUCUCUGUAUUUGGCUGCAAACCAGUUUUUGCUUGAG
rnacentral:lncRNA from 1 species